GAUGAACGCUAGCUACAGGCUUAACACAUGCAAGUCGCGGGGCAGCAUGGGGGUUGCUUGCAAUCCCCGAUGGCGACCGGCGCACGGGUGAGUAACGCGUAUCCAACCUGCCCUUCACCACGGGAUAACCCGGCGAAAGUCGGACUAAUACCGUAUGUUGUCCAUUGACGGCAUCCGAUUUGGACGAAAGGCUUGGCGGUGAGGGAUGGGGAUGCGUCCGAUUAGCCAGACGGCGGGGUAACGGCCCACCGUGGCUACGAUCGGUAGGGGUUCUGAGAGGAAGGUCCCCCACACUGGAACUGAGACACGGUCCAGACUCCUACGGGAGGCAGCAGUGAGGAAUAUUGGUCAAUGGGCGUAAGCCUGAACCAGCCAAGUAGCGUGCAGGAUGACGGCCCUAUGGGUUGUAAACUGCUUUUAUGCGGGGAUAAAGUGGCCCACGUAUGGGCUUUUGCAGGUACCGCAUGAAUAAGGACCGGCUAAUUCCGUG
rnacentral:rRNA from 1 species